rnacentral:misc_RNA from 1 species
GAUGAAGAACGUAGCGAAAUGCGAUAAUUAAUGUGAAUUGCAGAAUUUAGUGAAUCAUCGAGUCUUUGAACGCACAUUGCGCCUCAUGGUAUUCCGUGAGGCAUGCCUGUCUGAGCGUCAACAACACCACUCAAGCAUUGCUCUCUUGCUCUGCUUGGUCCAUGUCAGGGAAGCGGUUGGGCCUGUCCAACUGCCCCUUGAAAAGCAAUAGAUGGUCAGGUUGUCACCUUAAGCCAAACGUCAUAUGAUUCUUAUCGUUCGUUUGUCUAUCUGACUUCUUGACAGUUGUUGAACCCAACAGCACCAUGCUGUUUAUUCUGACUUGACCUCAGAUCAGGUAGGGAUACCCGCUGAACUUAAGCAUAUCAAUAGCGGAGGA